rnacentral:rRNA from 1 species
UACAGAGGGUGCGAGCGUUGUCCGGAAUCACUGGGCGUAAAGGGCGCGUAGGUGGCGGGGCAAGUGUGUGGUGAAAGCCUGGGGCUCAACCCCAGGUCGGCCAUGCAAACUGCCUUGCUUGAGCGUAGUAGAGGCAGGUGGAAUUCCGGGUGUAGCGGUGGAAUGCGUAGAGAUCCGGAAGAACACCGGUGGCGAAGGCGGCCUGCUGGGCUACUGCUGACACUGAGGCGCGACAGCGUGGGGAGCAAACAGG